AAACAAGUUACAUUUAGUUGACCAAACAAAACCUGAGUCUCUCCACCGUACACGAAAAAGACGGCCCGUUGGCCCGGAAUUAUUACCGUCUGUUUGUCCUCGUCUCCCUCCGCUGUCCGAUUGUGCGCUGUCGCAGCCUCUGCCCUCUCCCAGCCCGCUCCUCCAUCUCCGGUGAGACGCGAAUUGAAUCGCAUCGAAUCCAUGGGCAGCUCCUCGAAUACCAACACGAGCGGCGGGGCCAGCGACAAGGAGGAGAAGAAGAAGGAGGACAAGAUCAAAGGCAAGGACUCGUCGGGGCCAUCCUUCAAGGAGAACGAAAGGGUCCUCGCCUACCACGGCCCCCUCCUCUACGAGGCCAAGGUUCAAAGGAUCGAAAACCAUGAAGAUGAAUGGCGCUACUUUGUCCAUUAUCUCGGUUGGAAUAAGAACUGGGAUGAAUGGGUUGCAAAUGACCGCUUGUUGGAAUUGACGGAGGAAAACGUGCGCAAACAACAAGAGCUUGAUAAGAAUCAGGUAGUUGACAAAACAAUGAAGUCUGGACGGUCAACACAGCAUAAACCAAAAGUCUCCAAUGCGGAUGCAAAAGCUGAUAAAGAUGACACUAAGAGUCUCAUUUCAGUGAAGGGGAAGAAACGUAAAAGUCAGCUUGGGACUGAGAUUCAGGACAAGGAAAAAAGAUCAUCACAUAGUCUACUAGUGUUGCAGUUUCCUUUGCCACUGAAGAAGCAACUUGUGGAUGAUUGGGAGUUUGUUACGCAGAUGGGUAAGCUUGUGAAGCUACCACGAUCACCUACUGUUGAUGAUAUUCUAAAGAAGUACUUGGAACACCGGGCAAAGAAGGAUGGCAAGAUAAAUGACUCCUAUGCUGAGAUUCUGAAAGGAUUACGCUGCUACUUUGAUAAAGCAUUGCCUGCAAUGCUUUUAUAUAAGAAAGAGCGAGAUCAGUAUGCUGAAGAAGUUAAAGGUGAUGUCUCACCAUCAACUGUAUAUGGAGCUGAGCAUCUAUUGCGCCUUUUUGGAGAGCCUUAAGUUUAUGGAGGGGAAAAAAGCAAAAUGGUCUGCCACCGUCCAAAUUUCCAGUUCAUAAUUUGAUCUGCACUGGAAAUGGUAACAGAUAAAAUGCUUCCACAAAGUAAACUGAAAACAAAUAGAAACUUAUGAAUAAUAGCUUUUCCCUAAAUUAUAUUCUGUUUGCCAUACUACUAAAAUUACCUACUUGAAAUUUUAUAGUAUCCUAUUAAACUGCUCAGGAUUUUAUUUUAGUCUUUUGUGUUCUUUAGGCGUUUGAACUUUUGAAAACCGAAGUCCACUGCUGAUCGGUAAUACUAAUACUAAUACAUGAUGAUAUGUGGGUGAGUGGGAAACAGUCCAUAGAUCGGAUCCCCUUCAGAUGAAUUAUGGGGAUGUUUAUGUGCUUGGUCAUAAUGAAUGGACCAUGUCGAUACAGUAAUUAGCCCACAAGGCUUCAGUUCAAGAAGACAACCCAAAAAAUAGAAACAUGACAAGUUGAUUUGUUCUUCAGCACAUGAUAUUCCUAUCUAGUAAUCUAAUGACUACUAUAAUUGAUAUAGCUUGGUUAUAUGGCUACUGUGUGAUUGUCACCAACCCAAGCGUGUUGAGUAUGUUACCUUGUCAUGCCCUUCUGUACAUAAUAAAAAAAAUCUUAAAUUGCUGACUUGCAAGUUUGCAGUAAAAUUGCCAGAGCUACUUGCUUCUGUCAAUAUGGAGGAAGAUGCGUUGAACAAGCUACAGCUGAAACUGCUGGACGUUCUCAAGUUUCUUCAGAAGAAUCAGAUCACCUUCUUUACCUCUGCGUACGAUGGUUCUUGUAAAGGUGCAGAUGAGGAUAAAACCAAAUGAUUGCAUGUGAACGUUUUAUAUCAUGUAACAUCUUUCGAUGGACUUGUCUGGCACUAUUGUUGAUAUGAAUGUCGCUUAGGACAACAAUCGGUUUAUGUAGGAUAGAUGCUGCAGAUUCCUGAAAGACGGUACUUGAACUGCCCGGAGCAUGUUGUAUUUUCUUAAGAUGCUGGAACUAAGACGGCUUAGUUGAAUUUUCACUAUCAAGUGAGUCUCGGUCUUGCCCCAAAAAGAAUGUUUUGUA